UCUGACCCUGAGAAACUCUGUGCAACCAUAGUAACCAGACAGCAGGCUCUGUGUAACCUUGAGUGAGCUCUCCUAUGUUUUGACCAAGUAAAGCUCCUACAUGAGAAACUGCUUGCACUUUUUUGCCUACUUAAGUGUUAACCUGACAUCCAUUAAAUCGACACCUGGAUCAGCAUGUAGACUUGGUGUCCUUCUCUGUGUCACCUUGUCUCUCUCUCUCCCAGCCCUCUCUCAGGUGGUAUUCAGGUGUCACUGCUGGUCGGUGAUAGAUGGAGCCGAAACCCCAGGAACCUGAGACGGAGGACCAGCUGAGGCAAGUUAUAGGGACCACAGGAGCUUGCGCAAAGCAACUGACUAAGGUUAAAGAUGCUGCUUGGUGGCUGCCAGAGAGACUGGUGCAACAAGUGGAUUACUUCAAGGAACAAGAUCAUUCUCCAAGUGACAAUAUUGCUGAUCCUGCUGCAGCUGAUUCAUCCAGUGAAGGCUAAAUUACACUUUUAGGCCUUAGUACCCAAUCCCCCUCUUGGUCUCCCUGUACAUGUUUGCACACCUUUGUUUAGCUGGUCUGGUACUAUUCAUCUUUGUCAUUGCCAGAGGUGUCCACUUAGCUCAACAGCACCAAGCUAGAUUUAUUGCCAUUGAAACAGUAGCAUGCUAUGUCUCCCUCGCCCCAGGUAGGGGCUUAGCUUGCCCAGCUCAAACUUCAGCUUUAACCUCUUCUUUCCUGUGUGAUGGCCCGGUUAGUCAAUGACAGGUUCUGGGUGAUCAGAUAUUUAUCAACCUAAGACACGGAAAUCCCCCAUAAGCGGGAUUCUCCCAUGAUGGGUCAGAUAUUUAUUGGGAAUCACUCCCACCUAAGACAGGCAUGGUCACUUUGUUUUAAUUCGAAAGGGAGGAAUUAUGGCAGCCUUUUUGGAGUUAAUGGCAAAUUUGGAGUUAAUGGCAUCUGAGCAGUGGAAUUCAGCCUCUUAGCUUUGGCUAUUUUCCAAAGUCCAGUUUCUCAUGAACUGACCUUGUUGGUCCUACAGCAGACUGCUCUGACCCUGAGAAACUCUGUGCAACCAUAGUAAUCAGACAGCAGGUUCUGUGUAACCUUGAGUGAGCUCUCCUAUGUUUUGACCAAGUAAAGCUCCUACAUGAGAAACUGCUUGCACUUUUUUGCCUACUUAAGUGUUAACCUGACAUCCAUUAAAUCGACACCUGGAUCAGCAUGUAGACUUGGUGUCCUUCUCUGUGUCACCUUGUCUCUCUCUUUCCCAGCCCUCUCUCAGGUGGUAUUCAGGUGUCACUGCUAGUCGGUGAUAAAAAAGAAAGGUUAAAAUUGGCUUAAACCAAGGAAAGAGGCUGAAUGAGACAUUUAAACCCUCCCCCCCACAAAGAAAGGAUCAUGACAGCUGGUUAAAGAUUCGCUUGAUGGUUCCGCCUUCCACCUUCCUGAUGGUUAAAGAUGCUGCUUGGUGGCUGCCAGAGAGACUGGUGCAACAAGUGGAUUACUUCAAGGAACAAGAUCAUUCUCCAAGUGACAAUAUUGCUGAUCCUGCUGCAGCUGAUUCAUCCAGUGAAGGCUAAAUUACACUUUUAGGCCUUAGUACCCAAUCCCCCUCUUGGUCUCCCUGUACAUGUUAGCACAAUUUUGUUUGGCUGGUCCGGUACUAUUCAUCUUUGUCAUUGCCAGAGGUGUCCACUUAGCUCAACAGCACCAAGCUAGAUUUAUUGCCAUUGAAACAGUAGCAUGCUAUGUCUCCCUCGCCCCAGGUAGGGGCUUAGCUUGCCCAGCUCAAACUUCAGCUUUAACCUCUUCUUUCCUGUGUGAUGGCCCGGUUAGUCAAUGACAGGUUCUGGGUGAUCAGAUAUUUAUCAACCUAAGACACGGAAAUCCCCCAUAAGCGGGAUUCUCCCAUGAUGGGUCAGAUAUUUAUUGGGAAUCACUCCCACCUAAGACAGGCAUGGUCACUUUGUUUUAAUUCGAAAGGGAGGAAUUAUGGCAGCCUUUUUGGAGUUAAUGGCAAAUUUGGAGUUGAUGGCAUCUGAGUGGUAGAAUUCGGCCUCUUGGCUUUGGCUAUUUUCCAAAGUCCAGUUUCUCAUAAACUAACCUUGUUGGUCCUACAGCAGACUGCUCUGACCCUGAGAAACUCUGUGCAACCACAGUAACCAGACAGUAGGUUCUGUGUAACCUUGAGUGAGCUCUCCUAUGUUUUGACCAAGUAAAGCUCCUACAUGAGAAACUGCUUGCACUUUUUUGCCUACUUAAGUGUUAACCUGACGUCCAUCAAAUAGACACCUGGAUCAGCAUGUAGACUUGGUGUCCUCUGUCUCUGUCUCUGUCUCUGUCUCUCUCUCUCUGUCUCUCUCUCUCUUUCUCUAUUUCUCUCUCUCUCUCUCUCUCUCUCUCUCUCUCUCUCUCUCUCUCUCUCCCUCCCAGCCCUCUCUCAGGUGGUAUUCAGGUGUCACUGCUGGCUGGUGACAGUUUCUGAUUUUGUUGAUGUGAAUAGUUACUCUCUGGCUUUUACUUAGUUUGGCUAAGGGUUUGUCUAUCUUUUUGAUUUUCUCAAAGAACCAGCUCUUGAUUUCAUUGAUUCUUUGCAUUGUUUUAUUUGUUUCUAAUUUAUUGAUU